CCGGAAUUAUGGGCGUAAAGGGCUCGUAGGCGGUUCGUCGCGUCCGGUGUGAAAGUCCAUCGCUUAACGGUGGAUCCGCGCCGGGUACGGGCGGGCUUGAGUGCGGUAGGGGACACUGGAAUUCCCGGUGUAACGGUGGAAUGUGUACAUAUCGGGAAGAACACCAAUGGCGAAGGCAGGUCUCUGGGCCGUUACUGACGCUGAGGACCAAAGCGUGGGGAGCGAAC
rnacentral:rRNA from 1 species